rnacentral:lncRNA from 1 species
CUUCGAUCUCAUGUGCAUUUAUUCUUUUUGUUAUGCAAUCAAAUAAGAAUAAAAGUUCUGUAGUUUUAUUUCAAUUUUAGUUUUUAAAACAAAAUAUCGGCAUAGCCUUUGUAAAUAGGUUCUGAUACAUGUGGAUUUACGUGGGAGGUAUAUUGUAACAUCCAUUAUUAUUAUGUAUCUCUCGUGAGUCUGCGCGAAGUAUAGAUAUAUCGAGAAUUUUUUCACAGUAGUGUUUUCAAAGCAAAAGAAGCACGUCAUAUUAGAAUAUCUUUUUUUAUAUCAAUAUAAUACAUAUACUGGGUACAUAUGAUAAAGGAUAGUAAUAAUUCCUUAUUGCAUGCAAGUGAUCUACCUCUUACAUCUAUUUCAACAUGUAUUCAUCUGAAUUGUCAUAUCAAAAUCAAGAUAUUACAUUUUCACUGUUUUCAAAUAUUUGGCAUAUUCUGAUAUGUUUAAAGGAUACUCGCUUGUUAUAAAGCUGAUAAACUCUGAGACACACUCCUGAACACAUUCUUUGGCAUCUUUGGCAAUCU